AAGUCGUAACAAGGUUUCCGUAGGUGAACCUGCGGAAGGAUCAAUGCGAAAGAGGGGAGGAGGAAAAGUGUUGGAAUGUGUGGUUGACCAGGACUAUUUAUUUUUUUUUACUUGUUUAUGACUUGCCACCCGGGAUCUCUGGGCUCUU
rnacentral:misc_RNA from 1 species